rnacentral:rRNA from 1 species
ACUAACGCUUGCGGCGUUCUUAACACAUGCAAGUCGAACGGUGAAGCAGAGCUUGCUCUGUGUAUCAGUUUCGAACGGGUGAGUAACACGUGAGUAACCUGCCCUUGACUCUGGGAUAAGCGUUGGAAACGACGUCUAAUACCGUAUACGAGCUGAUACCGCAUGGUCAGCAUUUGGAGAGAUUUUUUGUUCAAGGGUGGAUUCUCGGGCUAUCAGCUUUGUGGUGAGUUAAUGGUUCACCAAGGCGACGACGGGUAGCCGGCACGUGAGGGUGACCGGCGACAAUGGGACUGCGACACGCAGCAGACUGCAACGGGAGGCAGCAGUGGGGAACAUUGCACAACGGGGGCAAGCCUGAUGCAGAAACGCUGGGUGAGGGAUGCUGGGCUUCGGGUUGUAAACAUAUGUUAGUAGGGAAGAAGACAACGUGACGGUACCUGAAGAAAAAGCCACGGCUAACUACGUG